GAUGAACGCUGGCGGCGUGCCUAAUACAUGCAAGUCGAGCGAACAGACGAGGAGCUUGCUCCUCUGACGUUAGCGGCGGACGGGUGAGUAACACGUGGAUAACCUACCUAUAAGACUGGGAUAACUUCGGGAAACCGGGGCUAAUACCGGAUAAUAUAUUGAACCGCAUGGUUCAAUAGUGAAAGACGGUUUUGCUGUCACUUAUAGGUGGAUCCGCGCCGCAUUAGCUAGUUGGUAAGGUAACGGCUUACCAAGGCAACGAUGCGUAGCCGACCUGAGAGGGUGAUCGGCCACACUGGAACUGAGACACGGUCCAGACUCCUACGGGAGGCAGCAGUAGGGAAUCUUCCGCAAUGGGCGAAAGCCUGACGGAGCAACGCCGCGUGAGUGAUGAAGGUCUUCGGAUCGUAAAACUCUGUUAUUAGGGAAGAACAAAUGUGUAAGUAACUAUGCACGUCUUGACGGUACCUAAUCAGAAAGCCACGGCUAACUACGUG
rnacentral:rRNA from 1 species